UAAUUCGUAUUUGGUUUUGUGCGCACCUCAACUCCAAGCCCCUCUAACUAGUGUGUACGCACUACGCACUGUCUUGUGCAUGCGCACGACGGCACUUCUUCUUUCUCCACCCUUCCCCUCGCCUCACCAUCAAUCUCCAGCACCACCCACCACAGCGCCUCCCCUUCGCCAUCACCGUGGCGCUUCUCCACCAUCUUAUUCCCCUCAUGCAUCAUCUCCUUCUCAGCCUCCAGUCAUCACCAUCGCCGAACUAGCCACCAACCUCCAGAACCACCAUUUUUUCCUUCCCCCUGUUUUAGCCGCGUCAGCCACCUCCACCGCGCCGGCAACCCUAACCGCCAGCGAGCCACCCCGUUCCAGCUAGCUCUCCUUCUCUCGCUGACGCAGAGCUCCAGCCCCUGUCCCAGUUCUGUGGCGAGCCCUAUCUUCCCCUGUUCGAACUGUGGAAACCUGGGCAGCCCUCCUUCCCUCUGCCCUGUUCUGAUUGCUUUGCAUCCCAGGAUGAGUGAUCAGUAGCAAAAAGGGAAAGGGAAAGGAAAAGGCUAAAGUCAAAAGACCGAACAAGCAGAAAAGAAGCAGGCACUUCAGCAGCAGCAAUACCAACACCUGAGCCACAGCAGCCAGUAGCAGCACCACCAUCAUCAUAGCCUGACAUCUCGGGGACUCUCUCGGAGUGGAGCGAAGAUGAUGAUCCCUCCUUGAUCGUAGCAAGUGCACGGUGCACCGUGCAGAAUUUAAGUGUGGGGGGAGGAUUGGAUCAGCAUUGGGUCGUAACAUUCUUUUUCCAAAAAGCUUUCACAUUUCAUUUUUGUUAUUACUAUGUUUUUUAGAUUUCUUGUUAGCUAUUUGGUUACUUUAAAUUCUCUUUAAGUAGUUACAUUUUUUUUUGUUUGUAUAUAAUUUAGAGCUUUAUUUGUAUUUUCUUUUUAUUUAGCAUGGUUUGUAUAUUGUUGACUAGAUCAAAUCAAAAUCAGAUUCCUAAUUCCUUUCAUGAAUAUUUUAUGUAAAUAGAAUUAGUUAUAAAUCUUUUCCUUUUUGGUUUAGCUUAUUUUUAAGAAUUUUAUGAUUAGAAAUAUUUUCUUUAUUUUAGGCUAGUAUUUUUUUUCUUCUUUCCUAUUUUCUAGUUAUUUCUAUUUCUGUAAUUCCUCUAUAAAGAGGAUGAUUCCUUGUACAUUUGAUAGUACAUUAUAUUCAAACACUUCAACUUGGUAU